CGAACGCUGGCGGCGUGCUUAACACAUGCACGUCGAACGGAAAGGCCCUGCUUUUGUGGGGUGCCCGAGUGGCGAACGGGUGAGUAACACGUGAGUAACCUGCCCUUGACUUUGGGAUAACUUCAGGAAACUGGGGCUAAUACCGGAUAGGAGCUCCUGCUGCAUGGUGGGGGUUGGAAAGUUUCGGCGGUUGGGGAUGGACUCGCGGCUUAUCAGCUUGUUGGUGGGGUAGUGGCUUACCAAGGCUUUGACGGGUAGCCGGCCUGAGAGGGUGACCGGCCACAUUGGGACUGAGAUACGGCCCAGACUCCUACGGGAGGCAGCAGUGGGGAAUAUUGCACAAUGGGCGGAAGCCUGAUGCAGCAACGCCGCGUGCGGGAUGACGGCCUUCGGGUUGUAAACCGCUUUCGCCUGUGACGAAGCGUGAGUGACGGUAAUGGGUAAAGAAGCACCGGCUAACUACGUG
rnacentral:rRNA from 1 species